UUACGGUCAUAUCACGUUGAAACACCGGUUCUUGUCCGAUCACCGAAGUUAAGCAACGUCGAGCCUGACUAGUACCUAGACGAGUGACCGGUUGGGAAUACCGAGUGCU